rnacentral:rRNA from 1 species
UACGGGGGGGGCAAGCGUUGUUCGGAUUUACUGGGCGUAAAGCGCACGUAGGCGGAUUGGUCAGUUAGGGGUGAAAUCCCAGAGCUCAACUCUGGAACUGCCCUUAAUACUGCCAGUCUAGAGUCCGGAAGAGGUGAGUGGAACUCCUAGUGUAGAGGUGGAAUUCGUAGAUAUUAGGAAGAACACCAGUGGCGAAGGCGGCUCACUGGUCCGGUACUGACGCUGAGGUGCGAAAGCGUGGGGAGCAAACAGG